GGGAAGGUGGCUCAGUGGUAGAGUGCUUGCCUCGCAAGCAUGAGGCCCUGGGUCCCAUUCCU
rnacentral:tRNA from 1 species